GAAGAAGAGAUGGAUGAUGGCAGACUCUCUAGUUCAUGUUCCAAUUCUGGAAGAAACUCUUACAGAUGAUUUUUUUUGUUGUAGAUGAUGAAGUUGGCAGAAGGUUAAAUCAGAUGGUACCCAUCCCUUGACUUGAAAAUGGACCAAAGGAUCCAAGUGUAAGGUGGAAGCUUAAAUCAAUGGGCUUCAUAUGAAGAUUCAUAUAUGGGUAACAAAACACUAGCCUGUUUAAAAUCAAUGGAGAAAUUCCUUCUAUUGAUGAAGCCCCUUAUCAUCAAAGGCUACUAGAGAGGGCUUGCUGUAUGAUAUUUUAUCCUUGUCUUCGUAGUUGCUAACUAGUGGGAGGUUUGAUAUAGCAUCCUCUCAAGACAAAGCUCUGUCAUAUUCUAAACAUUAAUUUUUAUUUUUUGCAAUAGUAUUUUUCUCACAUUCAAAACUUUUUUUUCGAUUUGAUUUUCAUUUGGAGUUUCCCAUGAACUAUGAUAUCUAGAGUUAGUAAUGAAAACUAAAA